GUGUUGGAAGGGUUCCAAAUAAUUAUGUUUUUCUUAAUUCGUGUUAAUUAAUCUGUGUAUACUCAAUAAAGUAUAAAUUUAUCAUUUUGAGAGAGGAUUUAAAAUUAGUCGACAAUUCGACGUCUAUAUGAUGUCUAAGUGACGUUGAAAAUAAAUGAUUUUACAAACACGUACAUAUUUUUAUAAAAAUUCUUUUUAAAAAAAAAUCAGUAUAAGAUGUAAAAAAAAAAAAAAAGCUUUAAUAUGUUUUUAUGUUUUUAAAAUAAAUAUGAAUGCAUGUUUGGCUACUAUUAAAGGGCGGGUAACUCUAAUUCCGGUUUAUGACAGGAAGUGUACGAUUAAAAGCGCGGGCUUUCAGCGAGGUAAACAAAGGAAGACAAAGGACAAUAGGAAAAGAAAGGGAAUAUACGAUCUACACGAACUGAGCGGUGCUAGAGAUGUUUGGCUAAUGACAUGAUGGCAAGAAUGAAUUUGCAAGCAAACAAGGGAAAGGCAGCUUUCAGCAGAACAAUUCUGUAUUCCGUUAUAAAAGAAUGUGUACUUGCCAGCAAUCCAAGGGUAACUGAAAGCAACAUAGACUAGAUCAUGGGGGAAAUAUCUGAAGUAUGCCCCUGAAAGAGCUGGAGGAGGUGGCCGAAUAG